GAUUGAAGUCAGUCGUACCUUCGGGUAAUCAGCCUUUCGGGUGCGAUUCUGUGGGGUUUGAGGAGCUUAACACCUUCAUGCUUUGCAUAUUCGUGCUCUUGGGUGUACUUGCCCGUGUGGUUGGUUAACAUCAAUUUCGGGCACCAUAAAAUGGCUGGAGGAAUGUAGCUUCGAUCUUGUAUUGAAGUGUUAUAGCCUUCGGUAGAUGUGGUGAUCGAGAUUGAGGAUUGCAACGGAUACCUUUCGGGGCUACCUGUCUGAUCUCUGAUCGUUGCUUUGGUGCUGAAAGCGUGCUUAUAGUUAUCAAAGUCGAU
rnacentral:rRNA from 1 species